rnacentral:lncRNA from 1 species
GUCACGGUGAUGUCAUAGUAACCAUUACUGUGAUCUCUUUACCAAGUGCCAGGCACUCUUCACGUGCAUUGUCUCGGGCAACCUGUAAACAGCCGAAGAGUUAGAUAAAAUUGCUGCCUCAUUCUACUAAUGAGAAAAAGGGCCACUGCAGGGGCCAUCCUGGAGGGAGUCACAAUGCAGGAGGACAGUGGCAAGUUCAAGAGCUACUGCAGCCGGGGAACAGCAGGACAGCAGCACGUUCAAGGGCUCUUGCAGCAGGACAUAGCAGGGAAAGGCCUCCCUGAGUCUAACCAAUUUACUCCUAUUGAUUUUCAGAUCAGAGGGGUUCAGCUCACAAAUCAAAAGAUGCUUUUCCCUCUCUGCCGCUAAAUCUGCAGCCUCUCCCAGACACCUCACAAAUUCUGCUUUGAUCU